GACGUAGGGAGCAAGCGUUGUCCGGAAUUACUGGGCGUAAAGAGCUCGUAGGCGGGAGCGUGCGUCUGAAAGGAAAUCUCAGGGCUCAACUCUGGGGCUUUUUCAGAUACGGCGCUUCUUGAGUGUAACAGAGGAAAGCAGAAUUCCCGGUGUAGCGGUGAAAUGCGUAGAUAUCGGGAGGAAUACCAGUGGCGAAGGCGGCUUUCUGGGACGGUACUGACGCUGAGACGCGAAAGCGUGGGGAGCGAACAGG
rnacentral:rRNA from 1 species